GACGAACGCUGGCGGCGUGCUUAACACAUGCAAGUCGAACGGAAAGGCCCUGCUUUUGUGGGGUGCUCGAGUGGCGAACGGGUGAGUAACACGUGAGUAACCUGCCCUUGACUUUGGGAUAACUUCAGGAAACUGGGGCUAAUACCGGAUAGGAGCUCCUGCUGCAUGGUGGGGGUUGGAAAGUUUCGGCGGUUGGGGAUGGACUCGCGGCUUAUCAGCUUGUUGGUGGGGUAGUGGCUUACCAAGGCUUUGACGGGUAGCCGGCCUGAGAGGGUGACCGGCCACAUUGGGACUGAGAUACGGACCAGACGCCAACGGGAGGCAGCAGUGGGGAAUAUUGCCCAAUGGGCGGAAGCCUGAUGCGGCAACGCCGCGUGCGGGAUGACGGCCUUCGGGUUGUAAACCGCUUUCGCCUGUGACGAAGCGUGAGUGACGGUAAUGGGUAAAGAAGCACCGGCUAACUACGUG
rnacentral:rRNA from 1 species